UGGUGGCGAGUGGCGAACGGGUGAGUAACACAUCGGAACGUGCCCAGUCGUGGGGGAUAACGCAGCGAAAGCUGUGCUAAUACCGCAUACGAUCUAUGGAUGAAAGCGGGGGACCGCAAGGCCUCGCGCGAUUGGAGCGGCCGAUGGCAGAUUAGGUAGUUGGUGGGGUAAAGGCUCACCAAGCCGACGAUCUGUAGCUGGUCUGAGAGGACGACCAGCCACACUGGGACUGAGACACGGCCCAGACUCCUACGGGAGGCAGCAGUGGGGAAUUUUGGACAAUGGGCGCAAGCCUGAUCCAGCCAUUCCGCGUGCAGGAUGAAGGCCCUCGGGUUGUAAACUGCUUUUGUACGGAACGAAAAGCCUUCUUCUAAUACGGGAGGGUCAUGACGGUACCGUAAGAAUAAGCACCGGCUAACUACGUGCCAGCAGCCGCGGUAAUACGUAGGGUGCAAGCGUUAAUCGGAAUUACUGGGCGUAAAGCGUGCGCAGGCGGUGAUGUAAGACAGAUGUGAAAUCCCCGGGCUCAACCUGGGAACUGCAUUUGUGACUGCAUCGCUGGAGUGCGGCAGAGGGGGAUGGAAUUCCGCGUGUAGCAGUGAAAUGCGUAGAUAUGCGGAGGAACACCGAUGGCGAAGGCAAUCCCCUGGGCCUGCACUGACGCUCAUGCACGAAAGCGUGGGGAGCAAACAGGGUUAGAUACCCUGGUAGUCCACGCCCUAAACGAUGUCAACUGGUUGUUGGGUCCUCACUGACUCAGUAACGAGGCUAACGCGUGAAGUUGACCGCCUGGGGGAGUACGGCCGCAAGGUUGAAACUCAAAAGGAAUU
rnacentral:rRNA from 1 species